UGAAGUUUCCAAGAAGCAGUAAUAGACCCAUAUUCUCUAAUAAAUCCCAGGACUUGAACUUGAAUUCAUACUGAUUUCAGAAUAUAAUAAUGAAAAACCCUGAGAAUGAAGACAGCAAGCAGUCAUGUCAACAACAGGGGGUGGAUCUCUGAUGUGAAUGUCACCCGCUCACUUGGUGAAUCAUUGUCUACAUAAAGCGACGCUUGAAUAGGCUUCUUGUAUACUGGUGCUACGCUGAAAUACCAAACAGCCAUGUAACUGUGAGACCUCUAUGCAGAGCCUGACCAGGACAACACACCACUGUCUAGUCACGGAAAGCGACCACCGUAGCAAUAUCCCUGGUUUCCAAUACUAACCAACUGCACGUGACACAAUGGCCCGUCUCUGAGAUGGGAGUGAGCAGAGAGGAUGAGAAUCCGAUCCAGUCACCUCUCCUGAGUAUCCGAUGCAGCCCUCGUCGUCUUCUCCUCUUUUUGCACUCUGUAACUUGAUAUACAUAUUACUGUACACAACGGACCACUCACCACAAGAAAUAGAUCAACUCCAGGUCCCAGAAUAAAAGGAUAAUAUAAUCCAA